rnacentral:rRNA from 1 species
GAGAGUCUAGUCUGCUCGAUGAUGUAUAUUUAAUGGCCGCAGUAUUUUGACUGUGCAAAGGUAGCAUAAUCAUUUGCCUUAUAAUUGAAGGCUGGAAUGAACGGCUGCAUGUGGUUAAUCUGUCUUUUGUUAAAUAAAAUGAAAUUAAUUUAUAAAUGAAAAAGUUUAUAUAUAAUUAAAAGACAAGAAGACCCUAUUGAGCUUUAGAGAUUUCGUGAAAGUUUAUGAUGUAUUUUGAUAAGAUUAUAAUUUUUAGAUGUCUUUGGUUGGGGCGACCCUGGAAUAGAUAAAACUUCCAGGUUGUAAUAGUUGCUUAUUGGCUUUGAUCCAGAAGUUUUUGAUUAACAGAAUUAGUUACCAUAGGGAUAACAGCAUAAUCUUUUUUAAGAGUUCUUAUCGAAAAAAAGGGUUGUGACCUCGAUGUUGGAUUAGAAUAUCCUAAGGGUGGAGAAGUUCUUAAGGGUUAGUCUGUUCG